UGCUGUUUGGUGACAGAAAACAGGCUAAGCC
rnacentral:piRNA from 1 species